rnacentral:rRNA from 1 species
AUUGAACGCUGGCGGAAUGCUUUACACAUGCAAGUCGAACGGCAGCACGGGAGCAAUCCUGGUGGCGAGUGGCGAACGGGUGAGUAAUAUAUCGGAACGUGCCCGGUCGUGGGGGAUAACGUAGCGAAAGCUACGCUAAUACCGCAUACGAUCUACGGAUGAAANCGGGGGGAUCGCAAGACCUCGCGCGAUUGGAGCGGCCGAUAUCAGAUUAGGUAGUUGGUGAGGUAAAGGCUCACCAAGCCGACGAUCUGUAGCUGGUCUGAGAGGACGACCAGCCACACUGGAACUGAGACACGGUCCA